AUGUGCUGGUGGGCGUUCACCGGGCUGACCCACAUCCUCAUCAAGGGCCCCUUCGUCUCCACCCCCGAUUUCUUCGCCAAGGGCAACCCCAAUUACUUCGAUGAAGUCUGGAAGGAGUACAGCAAAGGCGACUCCAGAUACAUCGCCAGGGACACGGCCACCGUCACCGUCGAAGGGAUCACGGCCGUGCUGGAAGGCCCUGCUUCGCUGCUUGCAGUUUAUCUUCUGCCUUCUGGUAGUGAAUACAACCAUAUCCUCCAGUUCGCUGUAUGUCUGGGUCAGCUCUACGGAUGCUUGGUGUACUUCAUUAUGGCCUACUUGGAUGGCUUCAUCUUCUGGGCCAGUUCAUUCUACUUCUGGGCGUAUUUCAUCGGCGCAAACAAUUCAUGGGUUGUGAUACCAACUCUGAUCGCCACAAGGAGCUGGGAGAAGAUCUGCGCAGCCAUUCAUCAAAGCGAAAAGGUGAAGACUAAGUAA
rnacentral:rRNA from 1 species